rnacentral:rRNA from 1 species
GGAGGAAUAUUGGACAAUGGGCGCAAGCCUGAUCCAGCCAUGCCGCGUGCAGGAUGACGGUCCUAUGGAUUGUAAACUGCUUUUAUACAGGAAGAAACCCUCCGACGUGUCGGAGCUUGACGGUACUGUAAGAAUAAGGAUCGGCUAACUCCGUGCCAGCAGCCGCGGUAAUACGGAGGAUCCAAGCGUUAUCCGGAAUCAUUGGGUUUAAAGGGUCCGUAGGCGGUCAGAUAAGUCAGUGGUGAAAGCC